rnacentral:lncRNA from 1 species
GUUCUGUUGACUAUCUAGUUGUUUAGUUAUCUAGCUAAGCUAGCCAGCUAUCAGCAUAACAACAGCCCAGCACCAUAAAGCAAAGUUAACGUUAGAGCUCAAGCUACGUUAGCUAACAUGCUGACUCUACAAGAUAAAAUUAAAAAUAAAUAAUAAAAACUGGAGUUGGAGUAAAGACACUCACCUGCACAGCCUUGCAGUGUUUAUAAAGGACUUAACACAUAAACUAAUAACUUUAUAACUCAAUAAAUCAUAAAUAUACGACACUAGCUGUUUAUGAGAUUCGCUUUUUAAAAUCCCACCGCUGAGGAAUGACGUUCACUGGUUCAAUUUCUGCGGGGACUGUACCAUUACUACCACUACUACUGCUGCGGGAACAAAUACAAAUAAAAAUAUACAUGUUUUUAGGCCUUUAUAUUGAAACACCUUCACUUCACUAAGUAGUCUGUGCAUCAUUGUUGUGUAUUUCCAAGUUUUGACUUUAUUAGCGCUUGCAAAACAAGUUUCCCAGCUCUGAGGACCCCGGAAGGUCCAACACCCCCAUUAAAAACAUAGUACGGUCCGAACCCCGCUAUUGGUCCCUCUGCAGUUCAGAAGACGCAGGCCUGUUGCCCAGGGUAACGCAAGCCAGCUGCGCGUGAGAGACACUGGGCCGUUGUGAACGGCGCUGUGUUUAGUUAGUAGCACUAAUGGUUAUCUCUGCUGGAGAAGCACGCAACAACAUACUGGGUUUAAAAGGCUCUGUUUCUGAGCAGGUGCUUCCUCUCCAAAUCAGCUGUUAGAUGAAUCCGGGACUACAAGGCCAAGUGGAUCUGUAAACAUCAGAACAUUUCCAGCUUGCUUCCCUACCACCGCACCCCUCCAUCCCUCUCCGCUUCCCUUUCUCCCUGCGCAGACGAGCAGCUGUUCUGCCUCUCCGACUGAAUGGCGAGCCCCAGGAGAGAGCGGAGGGAGGAGGGACGCAGGAGAGCGGAUGAGUGCGACCAGACACCUAAGGUCAGGGUUCAGGCCUGCAUGCGCCGCGGUUCUUUGUGUAAAACCACGGUAGGUUAAACACACACACCCUCUGCUCAUCAUCUAAACAUAGAUAAUUGAUAAAGCA